rnacentral:rRNA from 1 species
ACUGGAAACGGUCGCUAAUACCGCAUACGACCUUCGAUACGGGAGUAUUGAAGAUGAAAGAUUUAUUGCUCAAGGAGGGGCCCGCGGUCGAUUAGCUAGUUGGUGGGGUAAUGGCCUACCAAGGCUGUGAUCGAUAGCUGGUCUGAGAGGAUGAUCAGUCACACGGGAACUGAGACACGGUCCCGACUCCUACGGGGGGCAGCAGUGAGGAAUAUUGCACAAUGGGGGAAACCCUGAUGCAGCAACGCCGCGUGGAGGAUGACAGCCCUUGGGUUGUAAACUCCUUUUCUGUGGGACGAGAGAGGACGGUACCACAGGAAUAAGUCACGGCUAACUACGUGCCAGCAGCCGCGGUAAUACGUAGGUGGCGAGCGUUAUCCGGAAUUACUGGGCGUAAAGCGUACGCAGGCGGCUUGUUUAGUCUGACGUGAAAUCUCCCGGCUUAACUGGGAGAGGUCGUUGGAAACUGACAAGCUUGAGGCAAUGAGAGGGGCAUGGAA